rnacentral:rRNA from 2 species
UUUGGAGAAGUUUGAUCCUGGCUCAGGAUGAACGCUGGCGGCGUGCCUAAUACAUGCAAGUCGAACGAGUUCUGAUUAUUGAAAGGUGCUUGCAUCUUGAUUUAAUUUUGAACGAGUGGCGGACGGGUGAGUAACACGUGGGUAACCUGCCCUUAAGUGGGGGAUAACAUUUGGAAACAGAUGCUAAUACCGCAUAAAUCCAAGAACCGCAUGGUUCUUGGCUGAAAGAUGGCGUAAGCUAUCGCUUUUGGAUGGACCCGCGGCGUAUUAGCUAGUUGGUGAGGUAACGGCUCACCAAGGCAAUGAUACGUAGCCGAACUGAGAGGUUGAUCGGCCACAUUGGGACUGAGACACGGCCCAAACUCCUACGGGAGGCAGCAGUAGGGAAUCUUCCACAAUGGACGCAAGUCUGAUGGAGCAACGCCGCGUGAGUGAAGAAGGCUUUCGGGUCGUAAAACUCUGUUGUUGGAGAAGAAUGGUCGGCAGAGUAACUGUUGUCGGCGUGACGGU